GUCCAUGGCCAGGCCACCCUGAACAAGCCUGAUCCUGUCUCAUCUCGGAAGCUAAGCAGGGUCGGGCCUGCUUAGUACUUGGAUGGGAGACCACUUAGGAAGACCACUUAGGUGCUGUAGGUG
rnacentral:rRNA from 1 species